GGAAGAGCCUGUGAGAUGGGAAGACAAGAGGUUGGAGCCUGGGGGACACUGGGCCCAAAGAAAAUGGAUAAAUGGAUCCAAAAUUGAGGCUUUGAUGACUGGCUGUGCCAUUAAGUCAAAGGAGGAAAGAGAUUGUAUCUGAUGAUGACAAUAUCCUGAAAACCAAGAGGGCUGAAGGCCGUUAGCUGGGGAGACCAAAGGCCAGAUGCCUUGGGCAACAAUUUGCUCAGCAUAUCUCUUCCUAAAUUCCAAGACAGGCUGCUUGCUCUGCUCAGUCAAGACUGCCAACCCAAGAAACAUUUUCGAAAGAUCACAGUCAACAUCAUUGCCAAAAGAAGAAGUUCUUGGCACACAAAAGACCUGGUUCAAUAUGAGAUGCCAGAUGGUGAUUUCAACUUCAGCUAAAUUCCUGCUGAAAAAAGUGUUUGAACUGCAGAUGAGAAAAGCUUCUAUGACAAAUUUCCAAGCGUUAGAAGCUUCAGAGGGAGAUGGCAAGUGUUGAUACACCGCCCCCCCCCCCCUCAAGCACAUGCAUACACCACAGACUUACUACCUGCAGCUGGUAAUUAAGAUUCCCACAAAGAUGCCUCUGCUUUUUAAGAAGACUGAGCCCUGACUUAAUUUUUACGAAUAUCAAAGUGUAUU